AGUUCAGAGUGAGCUCUUCUGAGUUCAUCGUUCAAAGGGUGCCAACUAAGGCAGAGAAGAGCAACAGAAACAAUGGUCAUGGAGCUGGGAGAAGCAGGCGAGUCACAGAAAUUGUAGGGUAAGGAGUUACAAAAAGGAGGGUAAUUAGAUAAGGACUAGGAUAAGAACAUGUUAGAUUUAGCAGUUAAGAGAUCAGUCAUUACCUCCUCAAGCAAAUCCAGUAGAAGAACUGGAAAUGGUGGAGCUUUUUGAGAAGUCUAGAUGAAAGACAAGAGGUCGUAGAUGUUAGAGGGGACGAGAGAUCAAGGUAGAGAUUUGGGAAUGGGAGAAACUUAAGCAUGUUCCCAGGCUGAGGGAAAGCA